rnacentral:rRNA from 1 species
GAUACCCCUGUAGUCCUGGCCGUAAACGAUGAACACUAGGUGUCGGGGGAAUCGACCCCCUCGGUGUCGUAGCCAACGCGUUAAGUGUUCCGCCUGGGGAGUACGCACGCAAGUGUGAAACUCAAAGGAAUUGACGGGGGCCCGCACAAGCGGUGGAGUAUGUGGUUUAAUUCGAUGCAACGCGAAGAACCUUACCAGGGUUUGACAUCCUGCGAACCCCUUGGAAACGAGGGGGUGCCUUCGGGAGCGCAGAGACAGGUGGUGCAUGGCUGUCGUCAGCUCGUGUCGUGAGAUGUUGGGUUAAGUCCCGCAACGAGCGCAACCCACGUCUUUAGUUGCCAGCAUUCAGUUGGGCACUCUAGAGAGACCGCCGGUGAUAAACCGGAGGAAGGUGUGGAUGACGUCAAGUCAUCAUGCCCCUUACAUCCUGGGCUACACACGUACUACAAUGCUACGGACAGAGGGCAGCAAACUCGCGAGAGCUAGCAAAUCCCAUAAACCGUGGCUCAGUUCAGAUCGUAGGCUGCAACUCGCCUACGUGAAGGAGGAAUCGCUAGUAAUCGCAGGUCAGCAUACUGCGGUGAAUACGUUCCCGGGCCUUGUACACACCGCCCGUCACACCAUGGAAGUUGGCCACGCCCGAAGCCGUUACUCCAACCCUUGUGGAGGAGGACGUCGAAGGUGGGGCUGAUGACUGGGGUGAAGUCGUAACAAGGUAGCCGUACCGGAAGGUGC